CAGAGCUUUGUCUGUGGGAUGCCAACGAGGUGAAAGGAUUAGGCCCGGAUCCCUUGGUCUAGGAAACUUGCCAAAGCGGGCACGACAUAGGGGGUCUAAGAAACCCUGCAGACCUUAGGAUUUGUAAGCAGAAGCUAUGGCUGUUCCAAACACAAAACGGACAAAAUUUCACAAGUGUCCAGACUUCUGCAAAGGUCAGAGAUGAUGUGGGUCUUCCCAGGUGGCAUUAGUGGAAAAGAAUUCACCUGCAAUGCAAGAGAUGUGAGUUCCGUCCCUGGGUGGGGAAGAUCCCCUGGAUGAGGGCAUGGCAACCCACUCCAAUAUUCUUGCCUGAAGAAUCCCAUGGACAGAAGAGCCUGGAGGGCUACAGUCCAUGGGGUCACAAAGAGUUGGACUCA